GCGUCGUAGCUCAGUUGGUUAGAGCACCACCUUGACAUGGUGGGGGUCGGUGGUUCGAGUCCACUCGGACGCA
rnacentral:tRNA from 1 species